UAAAACUUGCAUCACACUACAAUGCAUCUCCUGAAUGCAACUCAG
rnacentral:tRNA from 1 species